ACACGACUCCCGGCAACGGAUAUCUYGGCUCUCGCAUCGAUGAAGAACGUAGCGAAAUGCGAUACCUGGUGUGAAUUGCAGAAUCCCGCGAACCAUCGAGUCUUUGAACGCAAGUUGCGCCCGAGGCCAUUCGGCCGAGGGCACGCCUGCCUGGGCGUCACGC
rnacentral:rRNA from 1 species